GUCCCUUCGGAGACAUCCGAUAAAAUUGGAACGAUACAGAGAAGAUUAGCAUGGCCCCAGCACAAGGAUGACACACACAAAUCAAGAAAAAAAAAUGAAUUGG
rnacentral:snRNA from 1 species